rnacentral:misc_RNA from 1 species
UCUCCGUUGGUGAACCAGCGGAGGGAUCAUUAAUGAGUUUUCUAAACUCCAAACCCUUGAGAACAUACCUAGUUGCCUCGGCGGACUUGCCCUGGGACGACCUACCCUGCAGCGAGUUACCCUGUAACGAGUUGCCCUGUAGAGACCUGCCCUGUAGCCUGCCCGCCGGCGGCCAACCUAAACUCUGUUUUAUUGUGGCACUUCUGAGGAUUAUUCUAAAUGAAUUAAAACUUUCAACAACGGAUCUCUUGGUUCUGGCAUCGAUGAAGAACGCAGC